CCUUCGCGACUUGUUUCAGGUGCUCUGCGGCCAAGGUGCCGGCAGGGUGAAACAGGGAAGCCGGUGGGCACGUGCAACGUGCGAUUCCGGCGCUGCCCCCGCAACGGUAAAUGAGUCGGGAUCGCGCAGGGCCACUGGGUGCAACAGCCCGGGAAGGCGCGCGAUCCGGGUCGAUCAGACCCGCCCAUGAGCCCGGAGACCGGCCUGUCACAGAUCAACGGC
rfam:Pseudomonas putida strain TASWS0946 Contig177, whole genome shotgun sequence.